rnacentral:rRNA from 1 species
AGCGAACGCUGGCGGCAGGCCUAACACAUGCAAGUCGAACGAAGUCUUCGGACUUAGUGGCGGACGGGUGAGUAACACGUGGGAACGUACCUUUUGGUUCGGAACAACUCAGGGAAACUUGAGCUAAUACCGGAUGAGCCCUUAGGGGGAAAGAUUUAUCGCCGAAAGAGCGGCCCGCGUUAGAUUAGCUAGUUGGUGAGGUAAAGGCUCACCAAGGCUACGAUCUAUAGCUGGUCUGAGAGGAUGAUCAGCCACACUGGGACUGAGACACGGCCCGCACUCCUACGGGAGGCAGCAGUGGGGAAUCUUGCGCAAUGGGCGAAAGCCUGACGCAGCCAUGCCGCGUGAAUGAUGAAGGUCUUAGGAUUGUAAAAUUCUUUUACCAGGGACGGUAAUGACGGUACCUGGAGAAAAAGCCCCGGGUAACUUCGUGCCAGCCGCCGCAGUAAAAC